rnacentral:tRNA from 13 species
UGUGUCGGCGGGAGUCGAACCCGGGUCAACUGCUUGGAAGGCAGCUAUGCUAACCGUUAUACCACCGACAC